UGGGGGACAGGAGAGAGAAAGGCUUCGCAGUGGGGGACAGGAGAGAAAGGCAUCACAGUGGGGGACAGGAGAGAGAAAGGCAUCACAGUGGGGGACAGGAGAGAGAAAGGCAUCACAGUGGGGGAGAGAGAAAGGCAUCGCAGUGGGGGACAGGAGAGAGAAAGGCAUCACAGUGGGGGACAGGAGAGAGAAAGGCAUCACAGUGGGGGAGAGAGAAAGGCAUCGCAGUGGAGGGGAGGAGAGAGAAAGGCAUCGCAGUGGGGGGGGGGAGAGAGAAAGGCAUCGCAGUGGGGGGGAGGAGAGAGAAGGGCAUCGCAGUGGGGGGGAGGAGAGAGAAGGACAUCGCAGUGGGGGGGGGAGAGAGAAGGGCAUCGCAGUGGGGGAGAGGAGAGAGCAGGUCAUCGCAGUGGGGGGGAGGAGAGAGAAGGGCAUCGCAGUGGGGGGGGAGAGAAGGGCAUCGCAGUGGGGAUGAGGAGAGAGAAGGGCAUCGCAGUGGAGGAGAGAGAAAGGCAUCGCAGUGGAGGAGAGAGAAAGGCAUCGCAGUGGAGGAGAGAGAAAGGCAUCACAGUGGAGGAGAGGAGAGAGAAAGGCAUCGCAGUGGAGGAGAGGAGAGAGAAAGGCAUCGCAGUGGAGGAGAGGAGAGAGAAGGGCAUCGCAGUGGAGGAGAGGAGAGAGAAGGGCAUCGCAGUGGAGGAGAGGAGAGAGAAGGGCAUCACAGGGGAGGAGAGGAGAGAGAAGGGCAUCGCAGGGGAGGAGGAGAGAGAAGGGCAUCGCAGUGGGGGGGAGGAGAGAGAAAGGCAUCGCAGUGGGGGACAAGAGAGAGAAAGGCAUCGCAGUGGGGGACAGGAGAGAGAAGGGCAUCGCAGUGGGGGACAGGAGAGAGAAAGGCAUCGCAGUGGGGGGGAGGAGAGAGAAGGGCAUCGCAGUGGGGCGGAGGAGAGAGAAGGGCAUCGCAGUGGGGGGGAGGAGAGAGAAGGGCAUCGCAGUGGGGGGAGGAGAGAGAAGGGCAUCGCAGUGGAGGAGAGAGAAAGGCAUCGCAGUGUAUGAGAGAGAAAGGCAUCUCAGUGGAGGAGAGAGAAAGGCAUCGCAGUGGAGGAGAGAGAAAGGCAUCACAGUGGAGGAGAGGAGAGAGAAGGGCAUCGCAGUGGAGGAGAGGAGAGAGAAGGGCAUCACAGGGGAGGAGAGGAGAGAGAAGGGCAUCGCAGGGGAGGAGGAGAGAGAAGGGCAUCGCAGUGGGGGGGAGGAGAGAGAAAGGCAUCGCAGUGGGGGACAAGAGAGAGAAAGGCAUCGCAGUGGGGGACAGGAGAGAGAAGGGCAUCGCAGUGGGGGACAGGAGAGAGAAAGGCAUCGCAGUGGGGGGGAGGAGAGAGAAGGGCAUCGCAGUGGGGCGGAGGAGAGAGAAGGGCAUCGCAGUGGGGGGGAGGAGAGAGAAGGGCAUCGCAGUGGGGGGAGGAGAGAGAAGGGCAUCGCAGUGGAGGAGAGAG
ensembl:lncRNA